rnacentral:tRNA from 1 species
GGGGGUGUAGCUCAGUGCUACAGCGCCUGCUGGUAAGUGUGAGGUCCUGAGUUUGAUUCCCAGUACCCCCC